CCUACGGGAGGCAGCAGUGGGGAAUAUUGGGCAAUGGGCGCAAGCCUGAACCAGCAACGCAGCGUGAAGGAAGAAGGCUCUCGGGGUGUAAACUUCUUUUAAGAGGGAAGAGAAGAAGACGGUACCUCUUUUAUAAGCUAUGGCUAACUAAGUGCCAGCAGCCGCGGUAAUACGUAGGUGCCCAGCGUUAUCCGGAUUUACUGGGUGUAAAGGGCGUGCAGACGGGAAGACAAGUCAGAUGUGAAAUCCCGCGGCUCAACCGCGGAACUGCAUUUGAAACUGGUUUUCUUGAGUACCGUUGAGGUCGUCGGAAUUCGUGGUGUAGCGGUGAAAUGCGUAGAUAUAAGGAAGAACACCGGUGGCGAAGGCAGAUGACUGGACUGCCACUGACAGUGAGGCGCGAAAGCGUGGGUAGCAAACAGGAUUAGAUACCCUUGUAGUC
rnacentral:rRNA from 1 species